rnacentral:misc_RNA from 1 species
CUAUCGCGUGACACUCGGUGACAUGCACAAAGUGCAGCGUACUCUACUCUCCGACUGAAAUCCUCAAAAAUUUUCCAAAAGGGCGUACAAGACACAAGGAGUGCCCCGAUUCCAACAGGUUACCUGCAUCUCGAAGGCCUCCAUACAGCUCUGUGCAACAUGGUGCAGCUAUAUAUCAGCUAUUCAAACCAAGGAAAUUACAUUGUACGCUUAGAAGACACAGAUCAAACAGGACUCGUACCAGAUGCUGCCGGUAAACUCCAAGUGAAGCAAAGAGAAUCUUACUGCGUCAGUUUCAAGUUUUUUAUUUCGAAUGCAAGGAUGUUCUAAUCGAAUGAUCGUAGACCAACCCAGAGAAAGAGACUCUAACGAUGAGGUUGUACUGAAGGGAGAAUUGCCACCGCUCCUUCAACUUGCAGAUUCGAUUUGCAAAAUCCUGAGUGGAGGAUGGUAAAACGAUUUCUGUGCGCUAUUCAUCCGGUAUCAGCACUUUCUGACGAGCAUCUCCUUACCUAGAACAGGAAGUGUGCUUACACCUGCAAGUUUAAAAAUUGCAAAAUAAUUAUCAUACACAUGCAUAGCGUCGAAUAGUUGAUGUAUGCGAAUAAGUCUUCAUGUAAUGUAUUCAUAAGUUCUAUUCAUUUGAAUUACUGGGGCAAUAUUGUAUCAUUGAAAUGAACAUUGUACAUCUUGUGAAAGAUAUUGCAAAGUUUUUUAUAAUUAUUUAAAUAAUGUAUGUAUGCUGAAUGUAUUCCUUGCAUAACUCAUGAAUAAAUGAUAGGCUAUUUUCAAACUGAAUACUUGUUUCCUAUUAUUUACACUCCUGGAACCAUCACACAUU